CCAGCAGCCACCCCCCGCCCUGCUGCAGCCACAGGUGAGUCCACAGCUGAGCAGCAGCCGGCCCCCCGGUGGCCAGCCAGCACUCUGUCCCCACAGCCCCUCGACUGCACUGCCAUCCGGUACCCAAGAGCCGACCUGUUUGCAGUCCUGCAGCCCAACCCGCCCACCCGGGAUGGGCCACCAGCAGCACCAACUGCCGAAGGUUCCGGAAAAAGAGCCUGCAGCCGCCCAGCCUCUGCCGCUGCCCGAGGUGCGUGAGGACAGUAAUCAGGGUCUGGCCCCCACUCCCGUAUCGGUCAAGCGAGAGCCUCAGGAGUUGGACCAGCUGUACCUGGAUGACGUAAAUGAAAUAAUACGAAACGACCUCUCCAGCACCAGCACCCAUUCGUAGUUGGCAACAUCGGGACUCACUCAGGAGCCACAUGGUGUCGAUGGGUGACAGUGGAGGUUCAGCAUCCAGACUUCUGACUAAAUAAACUGAGCACACCUGGUACCACUCAGAA